rnacentral:rRNA from 1 species
AGCGAACGCUGGCGGCAGGCCUAACACAUGCAAGUCGAACGAACUCUUCGGAGUUAGUGGCGGACGGGUGAGUAACACGUGGGAACGUGCCUUUUGGUUCGGAAUAACUCAGGGAAACUUGUGCUAAUACCGAAUGUGCCCUUCGGGGGAAAGAUUUAUCGCCAUUAGAGCGGCCCGCGUCUGAUUAGCUAGUUGGUGAGGUAACGGCUCACCAAGGCGACGAUCAGUAGCUGGUCUGAGAGGAUGACCAGCCACACUGGGACUGAGACACGGCCCAGACUCCUACGGGAGGCAGCAGUGGGGAAUCUUGCGCAAUGGGCGAAAGCCUGAGGCAGCCAUGCCGCGUGAAUGAUGAAGGUCUUAGGAUUGUAAAAUUCUUUCACCGGGGACGAUAAUGACGGUACCCGGAGAAGAAGCCCCGGCUAACUUCGUG